GAUGAACGCUGGCGGCUUGCCUAAUACAUGCAAGUCGAGCGAACGGACGAGAAGCUUGCUUCUCUGAUGUUAGCGGCGGACGGGUGAGUAACACGUGGAUAACCUACCUAUAAGACUGGGAUAACUUCGGGAAACCGGAGCUAAUACCGGAUAAUAUUUUGAACCGCAUGGUUCAAAAGUGAAAGACGGUCUUGCUGUCACUUAUAGAUGGAUCCGCGCUGCAUUAGCUAGUUGGUAAGGUAACGGCUUACCAAGGCAACGAUGCAUAGCCGACCUGAGAGGGUGAUCGGCCACACUGGAACUGAGACACGGUCCAGACUCCUACGGGAGGCAGCAGUAGGGAAUCUUCCGCAAAGGGCGAAAGCCUGACGGAGCAACGCCGCGUGAGUGAUGAAGGUCUUCGGAUCGUAAAACUCUGUUAUUAGGGAAGAACAUAUGUGUAAGUAACUGUGCACAUCUUGACGGUACCUAAUCAGAAAGCCACGGCUAACUACGUG
rnacentral:rRNA from 1 species